CGAACGGUAACAGGUCUUCGGAUGCUGACGAGUGGCGCACGGGUGAGUAACGCGUGGAUAUCUGCCUAUUAGUGGGGGACAACUUUCGGAAACGGAAGCUAAUACCGCAUAAUCUCUACGGAGGAAAGCAGGGGACCUUUCGGGGCCUUGUGCUGAUAGAUGAGUCCGCGUCUGAUUAGCUAGUUGGUAGGGUAAAGGCCUACCAAGGCGAUGAUCAGUAUCUGGUUUGAGAGGAUGAUCAGACACACUGGAACUGAGACACGGUCCAGACUUCUACGGAAGGCAGCAGUGGGGAAUAUUGCACAAUGGGGGAAACCCUGAUGCAGCGACGCCGCGUGUGGGAAGAAGGCUUUAGGGUUGUAAACCACUUUCAAUUGGGAAGAAGAGAUGAGUACUAAUAUUAUUCUGAUUUGACGGUACCUUUAGAAGAAGCACCGGCUAAUUUCGUGCCAGCAGCCGCGGUAAUACGAAAGGUGCAAGCGUUGUUCGGAUUUACUGGGCGUAAAGCGAGUGUAGGUUGUUUAUUAAGUCGGAUGUGAAAUCCCAGGGCUCAACCCUGGAACUGCAUUCGAUACUGAUAGGCUAGAGUUCGGGAGGGGUAAGCGGAAUUCCGUGUGUAGCAGUGAAAUGCGUAGAUAUACGGAGGAACACCUGAGGCGAAGGCGGCUUACUGGACCGAUACUGACACUGAGACUCGAAAGCGUGGGUAGCAAACAGGAUUAGAUACCCUGGUAGUCCACGCCCUAAACGAUGUCAACUAGCCGUUGCGGGUAUCGACCCCUGCAGUGGCGAAGCUAACGCGAUAAGUUGACCGCCUGGGGAG
rnacentral:rRNA from 1 species